rnacentral:rRNA from 1 species
CUUAGGUAAGUUAGAGAAGAGUUAAAUUAUAUUAUUUAAAUUAAUAAUAGGUUAAAAAAUUUUUAUUAAAAUUUUUAAAAAAAUAAAUAUCUUAUAGAAAAUUAGUAUAGUAAUAGAAUGAUGAAAUAUUUUAAAAAUUUAAAUUUUUAAAAGUAAAUUUUAUUUAUUGUAUCUUGUGUAUCAGAGAUUAUUAAUAAAUAAAUUUUUAGUUAAUUUUUUUCGAAAUUUAAAGAGUUAAUUAAUUUAUUUUAGUUAUUGUUUUAUAAAUAUUAAUAAUAAUUAAUUAGUAAUGAGAUGUUAAUCGAUUUAAAUAAUAUCUAAUUUUUAAAGAAAUAAAUUUAAUUUAACUGUAUUUAUAGAAAUUAUAAUUUUUAAUAAUUUAAUUUUAGGAAAAACAGUAAUAUCAGAUGGGAUAAGCUUUUUGUUAAAGUUUUAUAUACGUGUGUUUAAGAGUUGAGAUUUAAAAUAUAUAAAAAUAAAAUUAUUUAUUAAUUAUAUUUUAUUAUAAAAAAUUUUAUUUUCAUUUAUAUUUUAAUAUAUUAGUUAUUAAGAAAUUUAUUUAAAUAUGAAUUUAAGUAAUUAAAAUUCACUAAUAAUGAUAGUAUUAGUAUAAAUUUAUAAAAUAAAUUAUUUUAUUAAAAUAACAUAUUAUUUUUAAGAAUUCGGCAAAAUUUUUAUAUCCGCUUGUUUAACAAAAACAUGUCUUUUUGAUAGAUAAUUUAAAGUCUAAUCUGCCCCCUGAAAUUAUUUAAAGGGCUGCGGUAUCUUAACCGUACAAAGGUAGCAUAAUAAUUAGGUUUUUAAUUGAAAUCUAGAAUGAAUGAUUGGACGAGAUAUAAGCUGUUUUAUAAUAAUUAAUUAAAACUUAAUUUUUUAGUCAAAAAGCUAAAAUAUUAUAAAAAGACGAGAAGACCCUAUAAAUCUUUAUAAUAAAGUUAUUUUAAUAGGUUAUUUUAUAUAAAUUAAUUAUUUUACUAACUAGUUAUUUUAUUGGGGUGAUAAAAAAAUUUAAUUAACUUUUUUAAUUAAUUUACUUAAAUUAAAGAUUUCUAAUUUAUGAUCUAUUAAUAAUAAUUCAAAGAAUAAGAUACUUUAGGGAUAACAGCGUAAUUUUAAUUUUAAGUUCUUAUUAAAAUUAAAGAUUGCGACCUCGAUGUUGGAUUAAAAUUUAAUUUAAAUGCAAAGGUUUAAAAAUUAAGUCUGUUCGACUUUUAAAAUUUUACAUGAUCUGAGUUCAAACCGGUGUGAGCCAGGUUGGUUUCUAUCUUUUAUAAAAAAGAAUUUUUUAGUACGAAAGGAUCGAGAAUUUUAAAUGAAUUUAUGAGUUUAUGAAAAAAAUUAAUUUUAUUAUUAUUUAAAUGAGAGUUUAAUUUAAA